rnacentral:rRNA from 1 species
GACGAACCGUGCGAACGUUAUUCGGAAUCACUGGGCUUAAAGCGCGUGUAGGCGGGGUGGCACGUCGGUCGCUGAAAGCCCCCGGCUCAACCGGGGAAGGGGCGCCGAUACGACCACCCUGGAGGGACGUAGGGGGACCUGGAACUUCCGGUGGAGCGGUGAAAUGCGUUGAGAUCGGAAGGAACGCCCGUGGCGAAAGCGAGGUCCUGGACGUUUACUGACGCUGAGACGCGAAAGCCAGGGGAGCAAACAGG